GAAGAGACACCGCAUCGUGUCUCUUUCCUGCAUUUAAACAAGGAAAGAAAUCCAUUACUGCCAGCCGGCAGAGCUGUAUUUUCAUCCAUUCUGAACCAUGGAGAAUAAGAGCAAACAAGAACUAAAGGCAAAGCAAACCCUACCUGGGAUGAGGAUUACUCACUUUAGCGCUGGCUGAGAUCACACUCCGGAUCUAUGGUCGUCAGGUCAGGAGCCGCGUCCCCACGUCCCGUAAGCACAGAAGCUGGUGUGGUACUGAAAUCCUUGGGAAACCAAACUCCUGGAGCCACCCAUUUCCGUUUGCCAGAAUGGAGCCGCGCUCGACUAAAGAAAUAGCCCAAUGUGCUUUCUGUCUCUCUCUCUUCUCUCUCCCACUGAAGCUAAACUUCAGAGGCCACCGGUAGAGAUCAACUUGCCCCGUUUUAGGGCACUGAUCGCAUUCAGACUGGAUGAGGUGAAAACUACCUUUCCCCGCUAUCUUGGUCAUUGGGGCCUCGGUCCUGCCACAGUUGAAGUCAACGAAUAAACUCCCAUGGACUUCAGUGGGAACAGAAACAGGCUGCUGUCGGUGGUAGAGGCCGUUUAACUUUGGCAUAUUACUCUCCCUACGGUUUAGCCUUAUUCUAAUAUAGUAAAAUAAUUCAUUUAGCAAACAUUGAAUAGGCCAACACAGCCACCUCACGUCAUUUAAGUGUAAAUAUAGCAAGCAUAGGCAUCAUGAGCUGUUCUAGGCUUUUGGAAGCAGAACAAGCAUGUUAGAAGUGGACCCGAUUUCGCAAAUCCUCACGCAUGCGAAAGAAACCACUGGUUGCAGUGGGAGUUUUGCCUGAGUGAAGACUUCAGCUCGGGCCCAUUACAUUCACCACAACAGAGAACGAUGACCUCCCUGCCUUUGCCCUCUCCAAAACGUUUCACACCUGAACUCUCCUUGGGCGUUCUGCCACAGAGGAGUCAAAACGGACAGGUGCAGACCCUUUCCCGGGAGUUGAUCGAACACAUGGAAGUUUUAAUUUCGUGCCCAUUUUUUUUCCUUUUUAAAAGCCCAAACUGUUAAUGCUUUGAGUCUGCAUGAGUUGUGUUUACAACUCGUUGUAAACAGCUUUCCAGUAUUUAAGACAAAUGUAAGUAUUAGAACAAUAAAAUAACCAUCCAGACUUACGCAUCAUUGCAUAUGUAUAUCUGAGAUCAUAUACUAUUUUAUUUAAUCCAUUAAAAGCCAAAGCAAAUUUUAACUUGGAUCAGGAAUAGAUUCUAAAUGUAGAAGUUAACUGAGCAAUAUAAAAGCCUUACUCUAAAACAUUAAAUUAAUUGGUUUAAGGAUUUCAAAUGCUAGAUUACCCCAGUGGUGAAACCCGUCUCUCUUUCGCAUAUGAAUUAAGUCUGUCAUAUAUACUGUUAAAUGUAUACAGUGUAAUACCAAAUAGGGUAUAGACAUGAAAUGCCCAAUUAAUAAGUCAGUUCAAAUACUUCCCCAUUUUUAUGAGACAAGAGGAAUCCCGAUAUUUUCUAAAUGGUGGUAAUAUAGUGAUUGCAGCUGGACAGUAUGUUAUGAUCUAAAGGAACCAUGAACUCAUAAAGAAAAGUUCUAUUAAAGGCUGAAUAAUUCCAGGUCUGAUGAUAUUUUUGAAUCCUUCGGAAUACUGAGAAAUUCUCUCUUUUGAAAAUAAUCCCCCAGUUUACUAUUACCACCUUCCUUCCUCUUUCAAAACUGAAGUCAAAAGUUCUGCUCUCAGCACUUUUCACACAGUGCAGCAUAAUGUCCUAUCCCAAGUCAAUGAAGGCUUCCCUGUGGGAGGCGAGCAGAGAGAUGUGUCUUGGAGUCCCCUCUGCAGUCAGAAGCAUUUAGAUUUGUGUUUGUUUGGUUAAACUUAAAGCUUCUUGGAGAACAGUCAUGCCCAGUGAUCCGCUCCUAUUUUGUUUGCGAUGAAGCAAGGCUGCACCAUCGGGAAAACGUAUGCAGACGUAAAUUUUCUUAUUUCACUCUAGUACCCAGAGCAGAAAACUGAAACUAAUUCGGUACACUGCGUAGGUUAGUUAACUAGGUCAUGGCGCCCUCUACUGGCCAAAAGAGGAAGAACAUCGAUUUACGAAUGUGUUCGAUGACAUCUAGGAAAAGAAUCCGAAACUAAACAUUACAUAGUAACGUAAUACUCAGAAUAAUCUUAAAUACUUUGCAAUUUAAAGGACUGAAAGGGCCGCUUGGAACCCGAGGAUUUCCCUCUAUUGUCUUGAGGUCACAAAGCGGGAUGGCGACUUCAGGGAGAAAAGGUGUUGCGGAGUUCUAAAUUCUAGAACGUUUGGUCUGCAGACCAGUACCAAGCCCUCCAGAGUCACUCAAGAGCAUGGAACUGAGAUUAAAGCCUGAGAGCUGAACAAAGUAAAACAGACGGAAGGCAAGAUAUUGCCCAGUUAGACAAAUCAGGAGAGAGUUCCAGUGCUGACAUUUUAAAUGUGGCGUGGGACACCUGAAAUUACACAGGUAAGUGGAGGGAAAACCAAAGAAAACUCUACCACAGAAUUUUCCCUCUUGAAUUUAUUUAAUCCUAUCCUGAAAUCAUCAGGAAUAGGAUACUCAGAUUUCAAAGGGUGGAAGAAAAGGGGAAUAAAACACAACUUUCAACCUACCAAAGACUAGUGUGCUACAAUGGCUUUUACAGUCAGACAACGACGCAAAAUAAAAGAGGGGUCCAACAAGAACUAGCAAAGGAAUGACAUGAGAUUCAUGUCCCAAUCCCUGCUAUACAUACACAAACUUCAUUGCUUCAAUUGAAUUAUUGAGUUCUGCUGCUGUCAAUUUACUGCCAUAAACAGUGAUAUAAUACCAGGUUUAAAUUUGGAUCUACAAGAAAUUAAAUAUUUCUUAAACUAUUGAGAGGUAUAGUUAGAAGAUAGUACAGUUGUGCUACAGUAAUGUGUUAGUUCACAAAUUAAAUAUCUGACAGGAUUCCUUUUUAAAAAGCACCACAGUUGGGAAAUAGGGGAAAGGAGAAGCUUGUUUUGUAGUUACACUUCUUGAAAUGUUCUGUACAAAUUGAUGUAUAUGUACAGCUGUAUUACUUGAAUGUUUUGACUUACUAAAUUAUAAUAGGACCAUAAAUACACUUGAAUCAUUUUCAAAUAAAAUACAAUGUAGUAAUUAUAUCAGCACUGAUGUAAUGAAGUUCAUUUAUUGUUCACACUGAUUUGACGGACUAGUUUAUA